rnacentral:rRNA from 1 species
GAUGAACGCUGGCGGCGUGCUUAACACAUGCAAGUCGAACGAACCUUCGGGUUAGUGGCGGACGGGUGAGUAACGCGUGAGAAUCUGCCCUCAGGAGGGGGAUAACGGCUGGAAACGGCCGCUAAUACCCCAUAUGCCGAGAGGUGAAAUGAAUUUCGCCUGAGGAUGAGCUCGCGUCUGAUUAGCUAGUUGGUGUGGUAAAGGCUCACCAAGGCAUCGAUCAGUAGCUGGUCUGAGAGGAUGAUCAGCCACACUGGGACUGAGACACGGCCCAGACUCCUACGGGAGGCAGCAGUGGGGAAUUUUCCGCAAUGGGCGCAAGCCUGACGGAGCAACGCCGCGUGAGGGAUGAAGGCCUCUGGGCUGUAAACCUCUUUUAUCAAGGAAGAAGAUCUGACGGUACUUGAUGAAUAAGCCACGGCUAAUUCCGUGCCAGCAGCCGCGGUAAUACGGGAGUGGCAAGCGUUAUCCG